GGAGGACUGUGGCUCAGUGGAAGAGCCCCUGCUUGGCAUGCAGAAGGCCCCAGGUUCAAUCUCUGGCACCUCCA
rnacentral:tRNA from 1 species